UACGAAGGGGGCUAGCGUUGUUCGGAAUCACUGGGCGUAAAGGGCGCGUAGGCGGCCGAUCAAGUCGGGGGUGAAAGCCUGUGGCUCAACCACAGAAUUGCCUUCGAUACUGGUUGGCUUGAGACCGGAAGAGGUAAGUGGAACUGCGAGUGUAGAGGUGAAAUUCGUAGAUAUUCGCAAGAACACCAGUGGCGAAGGCGGCUCACUGGACCGGCAUUGACGCUGAGGUGCGAAAGCGUGGGGAGCAAACAGG
rnacentral:rRNA from 1 species